rnacentral:rRNA from 1 species
CUCCUACGGGAGGCAGCAGUAGGGAAUUUUCCACAAUGGGCGAAAGCCUGAUGGAGCAACGCCGCGUGCAGGAUGAAUGCCUUCGGGUUGUAAACUGCUUUUAUCUGUGACGAUUAUGACGGUAGCAGAUGAAUAAGGAUCGGCUAACUCCGUGCCAGCAGCCGCGGAAUUC